rnacentral:rRNA from 1 species
CGGGUGAGUAACGCGUGGGUAACCUGCCUUGUACAGGGGGAUAACAGUUGGAAACGGCUGCUAAUACCGCAUAAGCGCACGGCAUCGCAUGAUGCAGUGUGAAAAACUCCGGUGGUAUAAGAUGGACCCGCAUUGGAUUAGCUAGUUGGUGAGGUAACGGCCCACCAAGGCGACGAUCCGUAGCCGACCUGAGAGGGUGACCGGCCACAUUGGGACUGAGACACGGCCCAA